rnacentral:sRNA from 1 species
UAACGUUUUUCAUGCCUGCGCCCGAUAG